rnacentral:tRNA from 1 species
UUGCGGGGGUGGGUGAAGGGCGCGUGAACGGGCCUCAGUCGCUCAGUGAAUCCGCCAGCCGGAGGGCCAGGUUCUGGGCCCUGUCCUGCAAU